rnacentral:rRNA from 1 species
AUUAACUGAAUCCAUAGGUUAAUGAGGCGAACCGGGGGAACUGAAACAUCUAAGUACCCCGAGGAAAAGAAAUCAACCGAGAUUCCCCCAGUAGCGGCGAGCGAACGGGGAGCAGCCCAGAGCCUGAAUCAGUAUGUGUGUUAGUGGAAGCGUCUGGAAAGGCGCGCGAUACAGGGUGACAGCCCCGUACACAAAAAUGCACAUGCUGUGAGCUCGAUGAGUAGGGCGGGACACGUGGUAUCCUGUCUGAAUAUGGGGGGACCAUCCUCCAAGGCUAAAUACUCCUGACUGACCGAUAGUGAACCAGUACCGUGAGGGAAAGGCGAAAAGAACCCCGGCGAGGGGAGUGAAAAAGAACCUGAAACCGUGUACGUACAAGCAGUGGGAGCACGCUUAGGCGUGUGACUGCGUACCUUUUGUAUAAUGGGUCAGCGACUUAUAUUCUGUAGCAAGGUUAACCGAAUAGGGGAGCCGAAGGGAAACCGAGUCUUAACUGGGCGUUAAGUUGCAGGGUAUAGACCCGAAACCCGGUGAUCUAGCCAUGGGCAGGUUGAAGGUUGGGUAACACUAACUGGAGGACCGAACCGACUAAUGUUGAAAAAUUAGCGGAUGACUUGUGGCUGGGGGUGAAAGGCCAAUCAAACCGGGAGAUAGCUGGUUCUCCCCGAAAGCUAUUUAGGUAGCGCCUCGUGAAUUCAUCUCCGGGGGUAGAGCACUGUUUCGGCAAGGGGGUCAUCCCGACUUACCAACCCGAUGCAAACUGCGAAUACCGGAGAAUGUUAUCACGGGAGACACACGGCGGGUGCUAACGUCCGUCGUGAAGAGGGAAACAACCCAGACCGCCAGCUAAGGUCCCAAAGUCAUGGUUAAGUGGGAAACGAUGUGGGAAGGCCCAGACAGCCAGGAUGUUGGCUUAGAAGCAGCCAUCAUUUAAAGAAAGCGUAAUAGCUCACUGGUCGAGUCGGCCUGCGCGGAAGAUGUAACGGGGCUAAACCAUGCACCGAAGCUGCGGCAGCGACGCUGAUGCGUUGUUGGGUA